CUCUGCCUUUCCAGCUCUCGCCCUACCAGACCUGCUUACAUUUCCCUGAAAACCUUACUGUAGCAAUCCAAGGCCAACCAAUCCAUCAAGAUCCCAGUGAUUUCAUAGCUGCUUUGGAAAAGAACUGAGGAUAAAUAUGACAUUUCUUCUUGAAGUCCUGCAAUGCUGCUUUGGGCAAGACUCAGCAAUUUUCUGUGUGUUUCUGUGUGACGGAAGAGGACCCAGCAGACUGAGUCAUCAAGAGUGCGUCAAGGGUGGGCAGCACUUGCAGUCAGAUCCAUGAAGACCCACAUCUUUCUGUAGAUGAGUCCUUUUCCUUGGGAAAUUACAAUUCUGAGAGGUCCCCAAAGCACCAUGGAAGUUUGAAUUAAAAAAAGGCGUAAGUUUAAUGAAAAAGUUCUUCUUUACAUUUGUCUUCGUGACAGUUGUUGCUGCUUGGUAGAACUAGAUGAAGUAUAAAGGGGGAUGGAUAGGACCAUUGUCAGGAGUUGCAGAUGGGUG
rnacentral:lncRNA from 1 species